rnacentral:rRNA from 1 species
AUUGAACGCUGGCGGCAUGCUUUACACAUGCAAGUCGAACGGUAACAGGCCGCAAGGUGCUGACGAGUGGCGAACGGGUGAGUAAUGCAUCGGAACGUGCCCAGUCGUGGGGGAUAACGCAGCGAAAGCUGCGCUAAUACCGCAUACGAUCUAUGGAUGAAAGCGGGGGACCGUAAGGCCUCGCGCGAUUGGAGCGGCCGAUGUCAGAUUAGGUAGUUGGUGGGGUAAAGGCUCACCAAGCCAACGAUCUGUAGCUGGUCUGAGAGGACGACCAGCAACACUGGGACUGAGACACGGCCCAGACUCCGACGGGAGGCAGCAGUGGGGAAUUUUGGACAAUGGGCGCAAGCCUGAUCCAGCAAUGCCGCGUGCAGGAAGAAGGCCUUCGGGUUGUAAACUGCUUUUGUACGGAACGAAACGGUCUGGGUUAAUACCUCGGGCUAAUGACGGUACCGUAAGAAUAAGCACCGGCUAACUACGUGCCAGCAGCCGCCGUAAGAC